GAUCGCAGUGAUGACUCACUAAAAUUCAAGCUCAACAGACCGGAAUGCAGGCUUCUCUUUUGAGAACUUUGCGUGUCGACAACCCCGCUGAACUGAGCGAUC